UAUGGGACUGCCACACUGGCCAGUGCCCAGUGUGUUCAUACAAUCAACCUCCAAGCGGAAGCAGGGUCUUUAUUCAGUUAUAGCCCAUGAGUUUUCCUUGGCUUGGCAAAUGCUGUAAAGCAGGCUUUUAACAUUCAAACCAGUAAACAAGUUCUAAUAGCUUAUCUGUAUGGAAAGCAACUGAUAUACCCAGUCUUCCUUUCACAUAUCUCACAUCUAUGGAGGGAUUCCAUAGCGGUGAAGUCACGUGAUUGGUUAUUGUUGGAGGUCAGCGACUAUACUCUGGUCUGUUGAAAAACAUCAAAGGUGUGGCAUCUCAAUAUACUCGAAUGUAUAAUGAUUUUGAGGCAAUUACGAACACGGUCACCUCCCUCCUAUGAUGGGAUCAGUAUCUCAUAAAUCGUCAUCGUUGGAAGGAAACCAUCAAAGUUUGGGCUUAUUCUGAAAAUGGCAGCAUCUCACAAUCAACGACGAGGCUACAUUUAGCCCGUGAGAGCAUGGAACCAGGCUGACGACUAGCCUUGUAGAGGUGGAGAAGGGAUUGAGGAGUAGCGAGGUAGAGAUUAGAAAAAAAAGAAGCUGAAAUCCUCGAGAUCUUUGGUGGUGCGUUGAACGGAAGGGAUAGAUAGUGGUGGCUAGGUGGAGAGGAGAGAGAGGAAGAAGUGGGGUUGAUGUGGAGAAGAGAGUGAUGGCUCGGUGAGAGGAGAGAGGAUGAGGUGAUGUGGAGAAGGGAGUGGUGGCUGGGUGGGGAGGAAUAGCAAAAGGAGAACACACAAGUAUGAGCAAGUCUCGACUCUUAUGUGUUAAUCUGAAUAGUAUUUAAUUUAUUUUUGAGUUUCAUCAAAUAACAUC